GCUAAAUCAAGUUGUCGCACGUUUGUAUUAGAUUUUGGAUCGUUUCGCUCCAGGAGUGAUCGGAUACACGUUCUCGUGCUAUAACAAGUUGAUAUGCAUCGCACGAGUGGUGGCGGUCACGGUCAGACUGGGCAGGCCGGUCAAGCGAGUAGUCGGUGGGAUUGGACGAUGAGGGAAAGGCUUGUGUUGUCGUCUUCUGUGCUCAACAGCGGAGAUCAGAAUUGGGUUUCUGUCAGUCGAACCGUCAAACCACUGCUAGAAGCCGGAGUCAAACAGCCAGACAAGUUCUCACAGAAGACAGAAGCCGAGGCCGCUGCUGCAGACGAAGCCGUUCGACAGGCACAGGAAGCAGCCGAGCAAGCACUAGCUGAACAGAGAAAACUUGAGAAGCAGUGCGUUCAAGACGAACGUAAGGCAAGAGGAGGAAGCAAAGAAGCAAGACAGUGAAGUCGAAGAGAGGGAGGCAAGAGAGAGACAACUUUGUGGAGAGAGGGAAGCUGAACGUGCACAAGCAAUUGAUGCACAGAAGUGAGCUCGUGAAAGGGAAGAAUAUUGUAGACGUGAAGAAGAAGACAGAGCACAUUGCGUUAGUUCUUUGUAUGCUUCAUCAUCUUCAGUACAGACAUUUAGUAAACAGCAGCAAUGUGACAGACAGGCAGGUUGCGUAUGCAGGAGUGUGCAUGAACACUGGCAAGUGUUGUGUGAUUCAUGUGUGGUGGAAACGUUAUGUGACAUCACGGAUUUGUGUUGUUGUUGUUUUGUAUGUAUUGUGUGGUGAUUGGUGAUUGUGGCAUUGACAACAUGUGGAGAUAGAGACAGGUAGAAGGCUGAUGGACAGACAGUUGCACAGGGAGAUGGACAGAGAGACAGAUGGACAAAGAAAUAGACACAUAAAGAUAGAAAGAUGGACAAACAAACAGACAGACAGAGACAGGAAGACAGACAGAUGAUAGACAGACAGACAGACAGACAGACAAAGUGCAGUGUUGCUCAUCUGACAUAGUCACACACAUUGAUAAGGUCAUCUUGUGAGAACCGUUCCUCCAUAUAAAUUCCAACCUC